rnacentral:rRNA from 1 species
CGUAGGCGGAUAGUUUAACAUAAAGUAAAAGACUGAGAUUAACCCUCUUUCUGCUUUAUUAACUAACUAUCUUGGGUUGUAAGGGCGAAUUAAGAAUCCUUCAAGUAAGGGUUAAAUCUGUUGAUAAUAGGAGACUUUCAUAGGCGGAAGCAUUUUAUCGACUUACAUCGACGCUAAGGUACGAAAGCGUGAGUAUAAAGAGGAUUAGAGACCCUCGUAGUCCAUGCUGUAAACAUGAGUGUUCAACAUCCUUUUGUUGUACAGUUGCAUAUAGAUAUUGUUAUUUCUGAUGACGUUAAGGAUUCGGUUAGCAAUAUAUUAUAUUGUUUACUUAUAAGUAAGCCUUGCGCAAUAUACAUAAACAAAAGGUGAUUUGAAGCUAACGCGUUAAACACCGCCUGGGAAGUGUGGCCGCAAGGUUAAACUCAAAGGAAUUGACGGAGACUU